rnacentral:rRNA from 1 species
CGCGUAGGCGGCUUUGUAAGUCAAGUGUGAAAUCCCGGGGCUCAACCUCGGAAGUGCACUUGAAACUACAUGGCUUGAGUAUGGGAGAGGGAAGUGGAAUUCCUGGUGUAGAGGUGAAAUUCGUAGAUAUCAGGAGGAACACCGGUGGCGAAGGCGACUUCCUGGACCAAUACUGACGCUGAGGCGCGAAGGCGUGGGGAGCAAACA